rnacentral:rRNA from 1 species
AUGAACGCUAGCUACAGGCUUAACACAUGCAAGUCGAGGGGCAGCAUGGUCUUAGCUUGCUAAGGCCGAUGGCGACCGGCGCACGGGUGAGUAACACGUAUCCAACCUGCCGUCUACUCUUGGACAGCCUUCUGAAAGGAAGAUUAAUACAAGAUGGCAUCAUGAGUCCGCAUGUUCACAUGAUUAAAGGUAUUCCGGUAGACGAUGGGGAUGCGUUCCAUUAGAUAGUAGGCGGGGUAACGGCCCACCUAGUCUUCGAUGGAUAGGGGUUCUGAGAGGAAGGUCCCCCACAUUGGAACUGAGACACGGUCCAAACUCCUACGGGAGGCAGCAGUGAGGAAUAUUGGUCAAUGGGCGAGAGCCUGAACCAGCCAAGUAGCGUGAAGGAUGACUGCCCUAUGGGUUGUAAACUUCUUUUAUAAAGGAAUAAAGUCGGGUAUGGAUACCCGUUUGCAUGUACUUUAUGAAUAAGGAUCGGCUAACUCCGUGCCAGCAGCCGCGGUAAUACGGAGGAUCCGAGCGUUAUCCGGAUUUAUUGGGUUUAAAGGGAGCGUAGAUGGAUGUUUAAGUCAGUUGUGAAAGUUUGCGGCUCAACCGUAAAAUUGCAGUUGAUACUGGAUAUCUUGAGUGCAGUUGAGGCAGGCGGAAUUCGUGGUGUAGCGGUGAAAUGCUUAGAUAUCACGAAGAACUCCGAUUGCGAAGGCAGCCUGCUAAGCUGCAACUGACAUUGAGGCUCGAAAGUGUGGGUAUCAAACAGGAUUAGAUACCCUGGUAGUCCACACGGUAAACGAUGAAUACUCGCUGUUUGCGAUAUACUGCAAGCGGCCAAGCGAAAGCGUUAAGUAUUCCACCUGGGGAGUACGCCGGCAACGGUGAAACUCAAAGGAAUUGACGGGGGCCCUCACAAGCGGAGGAACAUGUGGUUUAAUUCGAUGAUACGCGAGGAACCUUACCCGGGCUUAAAUUGCAGAUGAAUUACGGUGAAAGCCGUAAGCCGCAAGGCAUCUGUGAAGGUGCUGCAUGGUUGUCGUCAGCUCGUGCCGUGAGGUGUCGGCUUAAGUGCCAUAACGAGCGCAACCCUUGUUGUCAGUUACUAACAGGUUCCGCUGAGGACUCUGACAAGACUGCCAUCGUAAGAUGUGAGGAAGGUGGGGAUGACGUCAAAUCAGCACGGCCCUUACGUCCGGGGCUACACACGUGUUACAAUGGGGGGUACAGAGGGUCGCUACCACGCGAGUGGAUGCCAAUCCCCAAAACCUCUCUCAGUUCGGACUGGAGUCUGCAACCCGACUCCACGAAGCUGGAUUCGCUAGUAAUCGCGCAUCAGCCACGGCGCGGUGAAUACGUUCCCGGGCCUUGUACACACCGCCCGUCAAGCCAUGGGAGCCGGGGGUACCUGAAGUGCGUAACCGCGAGGAGCGCCCUAGGGUAAAACUGGUGACUGGGGCU